AUUAAAGAGUUGCAAAACUCCCAAACCAUUGUGAACAUACCUUCAACGUUGCUUCGGCGGGUUGGCCCCGGUCUCCGGGGUCCCCGGCCCUAACGGGCGCCCGCCGGAGGUACCUAACUCUUGAACUUUUAUGGCCUCUCUGAGUCUUUGUACUUAAUAAGUCAAAACUUUCAACAACGGAUCUCUUGGUUCUGGCAUCGAUGAAGAACGCAGCGAAAUGCGAUAAGUAAUGUGAAUUGCAGAAUUCAGUGAAUCAUCGAAUCUUUGAACGCACAUUGCGCCCGCCAGUAUUCUGGCGGGCAUGCCUGUUCGAGCGUCAUUUCAACCAUCAAGCCCCCGGCUUGUGUUGGGGACCUGCGGCUGCCGCAGGCCCUGAAAACCAGUGGCGGGCUCGCUAGUCACUCCGAGCGUAGUAAUACAUCUCGCUCAGGGCGUGCUGCGGGUUCCGGCCGUUAAAAGCCUUAUUUACCCAAGGUUGACCUCGGAUCAGGUAGGAAGACCCGCUGAACUUAAGCAUAUCAAUAAGCGGAGGAAAAGAAACCAACAGGGAUUGCCCUAGUAACGGCGAGUGAAGCGGCAACAGCUCAAAUUUGAAAUCUGGCUUCGGCCCGAGUUGUAAUUUGUAGAGGAUGCUUUGGGCGCGGCUCUAACUGAGUUCCCUGGAACGGGACGCCACAGAGGGUGAGAGCCCCGUAUAGUUAGAUGCCUAGCCUAUGUAAAGCUCCUUCGACGAGUCGAGUAGUUUGGGAAUGCUGCUCUAAAUGGGAGGUAAAUUUCUUCUAAAGCUAAAUAUUGGCCAGAGACCGAUAGCGCACAAGUAGAGUGAUCGAAAGAUGAAAAGCACUUUGAAAAGAGGGUUAAAUAGCACGUGAAAUUGUUGAAAGGGAAGCGCUUGUGACCAGACUUGCGCCGGGCAGAUCAUCCGGU
rnacentral:rRNA from 1 species